CAGCCGCGCGCCCCGCCCCGCCCGGGAUCCCGGGAGCUGUCCGGCCGCCUCGGUGCUGAUCCCGUCGCCGCCCACGGCCACGAGCAGAGUCGAGAGGGCACUAUGAGCGGGGGCGUCUACGGCGGAGAUGAAGUGGGGGCGCUGGUCUUUGACAUUGGCUCCUUCUCCGUCCGCGCUGGGUACGCUGGGGAGGACUGCCCCAAGGCAGACUUCCCCACCACAGUGGGGCUGCUGGCCGCGGAGGAGGGAGGCGGGCUGGAGCUGGAGGGGGAGAAAGAGAAGAAAGGGAAGAUCUUCCACAUCGACACCAAUGCUCUGCACGUGCCUCGGGACGGAGCCGAGGUCAUGUCACCCCUCAAGAAUGGCAUGAUCGAGGACUGGGAGUGCUUCCGAGCCAUCCUGGACCACACCUACAGCAGACAUGUGAAGUCUGAGCCGAACCUGCACCCGGUGCUCAUGUCAGAGGCCCCGUGGAACACGCGGGCCAAACGGGAAAAGCUGACAGAGCUGAUGUUCGAACAGUACAACAUCCCUGCCUUCUUCUUGUGCAAGACUGCCGUCCUCACGGCCUUUGCAAAUGGACGCUCCACAGGCCUCGUGCUGGACAGUGGGGCCACCCACACCACAGCCAUUCCAGUGCACGAUGGCUACGUCCUCCAGCAAGGCAUUGUCAAGUCACCCCUGGCAGGGGAUUUCAUCUCCAUGCAGUGCCGGGAGCUCUUCCAGGAAAUGGCUAUUGACAUCAUCCCCCCUUACAUGAUCGCAGCCAAGGAGCCGGUACGGGAGGGUGCACCCCCAAACUGGAAGAAGAAGGAGAAGCUACCCCAAGUCUCCAAGUCCUGGCAUAACUACAUGUGCAAUGAGGUGAUCCAGGACUUCCAGGCCUCGGUGCUACAGGUCUCGGAUUCCCCCUAUGAUGAGCAGGUGGCCGCGCAGAUGCCCACAGUGCACUACGAGAUGCCCAAUGGCUACAACACAGACUAUGGAGCCGAGCGACUCCGUAUCCCUGAGGGCCUAUUCGAUCCCUCCAACGUCAAGGGCCUGUCAGGAAAUACCAUGUUGGGCGUGGGCCACGUGGUGACCACCAGCAUCGGCAUGUGUGACAUCGACAUUCGCCCUGGCCUGUAUGGUAGUGUCAUUGUCACCGGUGGGAACACACUGCUGCAGGGCUUCACGGACAGGCUCAAUCGAGAGCUAUCCCAGAAGACCCCACCGAACCAACAUGUCUGCUUCCCCCAGCAACUUUCUCCCCGCAGAGCAUGCGGCUGAAGCUUAUUGCCAGCAACAGCACCAUGGAGCGCAAGUUCAGCCCCUGGAUUGGGGGCUCCAUCUUGGCCUCACUGGGCACUUUCCAGCAGAUGUGGAUCUCCAAGCAGGAAUACGAAGAAGGCGGGAAGCAGUGCGUGGAGCGGAAGUGCCCCUGAGGACGGCCCCGCCCACACAGGCGCCCACCCGCAGCGCAGCGCUGGGGAGCCCGGGUCAGAGAGGGCUGUUUCCCCACCAGGACUCCAAGAGCGCAGAUCUAAGCCCCCCAAACUCCCAUCCUCACACCGACCCCUGCUCUUCCCCUCUUGUCCUCUUAGAUUGUGAUGUUUCUGAGUUGAAAGAAGUAAAAAUGUUUUAAGAAAAA